rnacentral:ncRNA from 1 species
UAGAAGCCCGACUCGCUCGUUGGAGCCGGGCAUGGAAUGCGAGUGCCAAGUGGGCCACUCUUGGUAAGCAGGACUGGCGAUGCGGGAUGAACCGAACGCCGGGUUAAGGCGCCCGACGCGACGCUCAUCAGAGCCCACAAAAGGUGUUGGUUGAUAUAGACAGCAGGACGGUGGCCAUGGAAGUCGGAAACCGCUAAGGAGUGUGUAACAACUCACCUGCCGAAUCAAUCAGCCCUGAAAAUGGAUGGCGCUGGAGCGUCGGGCCUAUACCCGGCCGUCGCGGCGGUACGAGCAUCGAGUUGGUGCGCUAGGCCGCGACGAGUAGGAGGGCCGCGGCGGCGGGCGUAGAAGCCUAGGGCGCGAGCCCGGGUGGAGCAGCCGUCGGUGCAGAUCUUUGUGGUAGUAGCAAAUAUUCAAAUGAGAACUUUGAAGGCCGAAGUGGAGAAGGGUUCCAUGUGAACAGCAGUUGAACAUGGGUCAGUCGACCCUAAGGGAUAGGCGAAGGCCGUUCUGAAGCGGGGUGAUGUUCGCGUCGCCCCGGCGGACCGAAAGGGAAUCGGGUUAAUAUUCCCGAACCUCGACGCGGAGAUUGGCGCUCCGGCGCCUAGUGCGGCAACGCAAACGAACUCGGAAACGCCGACGUGGGUCCCGGGAAGAGUUCUCUUUUCUUGGUAAGGGGCGGCGACCCUGGAAU